UACGUAGGCAGCGAGCGUUGUUCGGAGUUACUGGGCGUAAAGAGUGCGUAGGCGGUUUUCUAAGUUUGGUGUGAAAUCUCCCGGCUUAACUGGGAGGGUGCGCCGAAAACUGGAAGGCUUGAGUAUGGGAGAGGGUAAGCGGAAUUCCUGGUGUAGCGGUGAAAUGCGCAGAUAUCAGGAGGAACACCGAUGGCGAAGGCAGGUCUCCUGGGCCGAUACUGACGUGGAGGAAGCGAAAGGCGUGGGGAGCGAACAG
rnacentral:rRNA from 1 species